rnacentral:rRNA from 1 species
UACGGAGGGUGCAAGCGUUAAUCGGAAUUACUGGGCGUAAAGCGUGCGCAGGCGGUUUGUUAAGUCUGCUGUGAAAUCCCCGAGCUCAACUCGGGAAUUGCAGUGGAUACUGGCAGGCUGGAGUAUGGUAGAGGAAGGUGGAAUUCCCGGUGUAGCAGUGAAAUGCGUAGAGAUCGGGAGGAACACCAGUGGCGAAGGCGGCCUUCUGGACCAAUACUGACGCUCAUGCACGAAAGCGUGGGGAGCAAACAGG